CUGAAGCGAAGAAGAAGAAUCCGAAGCGGGAUAGAAGAGAAAAUAGGGGAAAAAAGAAGAUAAAGACAGAAAACGCAAGAAAUCUACUGCUACUUUGUCCCAAAAUAUUGGCGCCAUGUUCCAAAAAAGGGCCAAAAUGGGUUUGUCACCAGCCCAGAUACCCCUCGGCCUGAGGCAGGCAACACCUGUGACCCUGUACAGGAUAAAGUGGCUACAGAUAAUGGAUGGAUGGCUGUUGGGUUUUACUGCAAAAUUUAAGAAGCAAGUGUGACAAAGUGUCCAGAAGAACUGUGACUGGUUCUGCAAGAUGCUCAGUAAAACUUACAGCUCAUUUCCUUAUAAAACUG